UACGAAGGAUCCAAGCGUUGUCCGGAUUUACUGGGUUUAAAGGGUGCGUAGGCGGUCUUUUAAGUCAGUGGUGAAAGCUCGCAGCUUAACUGUGAAAUUGCCAUUGAAACUGAAAGUCUCGAGUGUGGUUGAGGUAACUGGAAUAUAUCAUGUAGCGGUGAAAUGCUUAGAUAUGAUAUAGAACACCAAUUGCGAAGGCAGGUUACUGAGCCACAACUGACGCUGAGGCACGAAAGCGUGGGGAGCAAACAGG
rnacentral:rRNA from 1 species